CAGCGGGGGUCAUUACUGA
rnacentral:rRNA from 1 species